rnacentral:snRNA from 1 species
GGAUAUGUAGGUUAUCUGGCUGGGACAUCUGUGACCUUUGAUCUCUAGAGCUGAUUUGAUUGAUCGGGCUGGCUAGACAGCUAUUGCUUUCCUCCUUCACUGCUUUAUGUGUGUCCUCCCAAAGUUGCAAGCCAUUGACAAGGAUGCCCUUCUCCAAUAGAGGAGGACAAUUCUUCAGUUAAGGUCACCUGGCAGAUCCUCUAGAUAAGCUUCCAAGGUCCCUUUGCAGAACAUAUCAUAGUAUAGCCACCAAGACUACAGACAUCUCAACAAGACAAUGUAGUGGCAGUCUGCCUUUAUUU